GAUGAACGCUGGCGGCGUGCCUAAUACAUGCAAGUCGAGCGAACAGAUGAGGAGCUUGCUCCUUUGACGUUAGCGGCGGACGGGUGAGUAACACGUGGAUAACCUACCUAUAAGACUGGGAUAACUUCGGGAAACCGGAGCUAAUACCGGAUAACAUAUUGAACCGCAUGGUUCAAUAGUGAAAGACGGCUUUGCUGUCACUUAUAGAUGGAUCCGCGCCGCAUUAGCUAGUUGGUAAGGUAACGGCUUACCAAGGCAACGAUGCGUAGCCGACCUGAGAGGGUGAUCGGCCACACUGGAACUGAGACACGGUCCAGACUCCUACGGGAGGCAGCAGUAGGGAAUCUUCCGCAAUGGGCGAAAGCCUGACGGAGCAACGCCGCGUGAGUGAUGAAGGUCUUCGGAUCGUAAAACUCUGUUAUCAGGGAAGAACAAAUGUGUAAGUAACUGUGCACAUCUUGACGGUACCUAAUCAGAAAGCCACGGCUAACUACGUG
rnacentral:rRNA from 1 species